rnacentral:rRNA from 1 species
CUUGCUUCUCUUGAGAGCGGCGGACGGGUGAGUAAUGCCUAGGAAUCUGCCUGGUAGUGGGGGAUAACGUCCGGAAACGGACGCUAAUACCGCAUACGUCCUACGGGAGAAAGCAGGGGACCUUCGGGCCUUGCGCUAUCAGAUGAGCCUAGGUCGGAUUAGCUAGUUGGUGGGGUAAUGGCUCACCAAGGCGACGAUCCGUAACUGGUCUGAGAGGAUGAUCAGUCACACUGGAACUGAGACACGGUCCAGACUCCUACGGGAGGCAGCAGUGGGGAAUAUUGGACAAUGGGCGAAAGCCUGAUCCAGCCAUGCCGCGUGUGUGAAGAAGGUCUUCGGAUUGUAAAGCACUUUAAGUUGGGAGGAAGGGCAGUAAAUUAAUACUUUGCUGUUUUGACGUUACCGACAGAAUAAGCACCGGCUAACUCUGUGCCAGCAGCCGCGGUAAUACAGAGGGUGCAAGCGUUAAUCGGAAUUACUGGGCGUAAAGCGCGCGUAGGUGGUUCGUUAAGUUGGAUGUGAAAUCCCCGGGCUCAACCUGGGAACUGCAUUCAAAACUGACGAGCUAGAGUAUGGUAGAGGGUGGUGGAAUUUCCUGUGUAGCGGUGA